UACAGAGGGGGCGAGCGUUUGUUCGGAAUUACUGGGCGUAAAGGGCGCGUAGGCGGCCUGCUAAGUCAUACGUGAAAUCCCUCGGCUCAACCGGGGAACUGCGUGUGAUACUGGCGGGCUUGAAUCCGGGAGAGGAAUGCGGAAUUCCAGGUGUAGCGGUGAAAUGCGUAGAUAUCUGGAGGAACACCGGUGGCGAAGGCGGCAUUCUGGACCGGCAUUGACGCUGAGGCGCGAAAGCCAGGGGAGCAAACGGG
rnacentral:rRNA from 1 species